UACAGAGGUCCCAAGCGUUAAUCGGAAUUACUGGGCGUAAAGCGUGCGUAGGCGGUGAUUUAAGUCUGCUGUGAAAUCCCCGGGCUCAACCUGGGAAUGGCAGUGGAUACUGGAUCGCUAGAGUGUGAUAGAGGAUGGUGGAAUUCCCGGUGUAGCGGUGAAAUGCGUAGAGAUCGGGAGGAACAUCAGUGGCGAAGGCGGCCAUCUGGAUCAACACUGACGCUGAGGCACGAAAGCGUGGGGAGCAAACAGG
rnacentral:rRNA from 1 species